rnacentral:rRNA from 1 species
GACGAACGCUGGCGGCGUGCCUAAUACAUGCAAGUCGAACGCUGAAGAGAGGAGCUUGCUCUUCUUGGAUGAGUUGCGAACGGGUGAGUAACGCGUAGGUAACCUGCCUUGUAGCGGGGGAUAACUAUUGGAAACGAUAGCUAAUACCGCAUAACAAUGGAUGACACAUGUCAUUUAUUUGAAAGGGGCAAUUGCUCCACUACAAGAUGGACCUGCGUUGUAUUAGCUAGUAGGUGAGGUAAUGGCUCACCUAGGCGACGAUACAUAGCCGACCUGAGAGGGUGAUCGGCCACACUGGGACUGAGACACGGCCCAGACUCCUACGGGAGGCAGCAGUAGGGAAUCUUCGGCAAUGGGGGCAACCCUGACCGAGCAACGCCGCGUGAGUGAAGAAGGUUUUCGGAUCGUAAAGCUCUGUUGUAAGUCAAGAACGGGUGUGAGAGUGGAAAGUGCACACUGUGACGGUAGCGUACCAGAAAGGGACGGCUAACUACGU